rnacentral:tRNA from 1 species
GGGGAUAUAGUUCAGUUGGUAGAAUAUUUGCCUUGCAUGCACAAGACCCUGGGUUCAGUCCCCAGCACCACA